rnacentral:rRNA from 1 species
UACAGAGGUCCCAAGCGUUGUUCGGAUUCACUGGGCGUAAAGGGUGCGUAGGUGGUGAGGUAAGUCGGAUGUGAAAGCUCGGAGCUCAACUCCGAAAUGGCAUUGGAAACUACCUUGCUCGAGGGUUGGAGGGGGGACUGGAAUUCCCGGUGUAGCAGUGAAAUGCGUAGAUAUCGGGAGGAACACCAGUGGCGAAGGCGAGUCCCUGGACAAUUCCUGACGCUGAGGCACGAAAGCCAGGGGAGCAAACAGG